AGAUACAAAGUUUAACGAACAAAGUCGCACUGUGAACUACGAAGUCAAUCCCCAUUAUAUUUGAAGCAUAACCACCUUUGGAGAGGGAUUUUUUUUUCUUUCCUCUCCUGUGCAUCAGUGUUUUUGUCUGAGCGCCUGACAAAACCAAAGGGUGGAGGGUAAGACUCGAAUUUCAUCGUAAUGGGUUCAUGGAUGUCUAGGGUUACAGAGAUUGAAAACACGACAGACCAGACUCUGGAACUGAGAGAAUGUCCGGAAGGGGAUCCAGAAGGGAAAGGAAGUGAACCAAUUCUGCUUCAUCCGCACAAGUCCAAGUGUAUCCCUGCAACUAAAUUCUGUCAACACAGCCACGAUGCCGCUAGACCACGGCACUUAAUUCUGGUUUCCUCCAACGGGGGUGGAGGGAAUCCUGAGACCUUCGCCACAACUGAUUUCAUCACCUUCGAAAAGUUCGUUAUCUUUCCUAGAGAAAACGGGAACAUCAGGGUCCAGACAUCCCGUACUAAAGGGACCGGAUUCCGAAGAAUCAAGUUGGUCAAAUGCUUAAUCAGUUUCAUUCAGCUACCAUGAACAAGCAGAUACGAGAACCUUGCAGGCUGUGACAGAGACAACUUUGUAAAAACAGUAACAUUCUCUUUCAAGGGCGAUAUAUACCAUACCUUAUGAAGAAAUAAGAAUAUGUUGUGUUGUUAAAGGAUGAAGAACCCAACUGUAGAAACUUAGAGUUUGUUUGGGAGUGAUUUUAUAAUGGCUAUAAUUACUUAUAGACAUAAGCACCUCCCGCACGCUUCUCCAUAUAAUAUCUUUAAGUGAUUUUAAUUAAGCCAUUUUCGGGAGAAACACCUCCAAUGUGUCUCUCUAUAAAAUCACUUAAAAUUAAAACCACGUAAAGUGAUUAUAUGAAGAAGUGGUUCUCUAUAAAAGUGAUUAUUAGCUUAUCCAAAAUCACUUCCAAAAAAUUCAUAUUGUACAUAAUGUAACGAAUAAGCAAUGAAUAUUGUAUAUAUAAACUUUUAAGAAGUUGCAUUACUCAUGCUGUACAUAAUGUAUAUAUAAACUUUAAAUUAUUUAUGUCCAUUACAGCAUAUUGCAUAUAUUACUUAACACAAGUAGUAUUAAGUAAUGCACCUACAUAACAAACGAUCAUAAUACACCUGCUAAACACGAAUGCCCCUAAUUUAUCUAUCUAAUUUGUAGGUGUACUUAGAUUAAUUUACCUAUUUCUCAACCCAAAAAAAAAUUAAUUUACCUACACUUGUACAUAUUGUUUACCUAUAUUUUGUAGCAAGACUGGGCUAAAAGCACGAUCUAAAGAGCACAAAAAUGAUAUUCAUGUCCUUUUGAAAAUACAUUUGACAUAUGUGGCCUAUAGAGGACAAAUACUGAAAUUGUGUCCCUUUAAGUAACCUAUAGAGCAUGAAUACUUUAAAUUGUGAGAAUGUGAAGGUAAAGAGUCCCACAUUGGAAAGUUAAGAAACCUAGCAAGGGCUUAUAAGGAGUUGGGCUAUUCCCCCCAUUGCCAAUUGGUUUUGGGGUGGAACCUCAACUUCCUUAAUAGUAUCAGAACGGGUUGCUCACGUGUGAAAGCCCAACGGCCACACGUGCUCCAUGUCACCCAAAAUGUAUUGUCCACGUGUUAGGCUUGAAAAUUCGCCACACGUGCGGGGGCGUGUGAGAAUGUGAAGGUAAAAAGUCUCACAUUGGGAAGUUGUGAAACCUAGCAAGGCCUUAUAAGGAGUUGGACUAUUCCUCUCAUUGUUAAUUGACUUUUGGGUGGAACCUCAACUUUCUUCAUAAAUUAUGUCUAGAAUAGUUUUAAAAAAAUUCAUAAAAAAUAUUAAAAAAAUAAUUUUAAAAAGGCGCCUACCUUCCUUGUAGAACUUCUCUCCAAAUAUCUCAUUGAAAAUGAAUAUAUUAAAGAUAAGCAUCCCAACAACACGCACGCCUCUUUCAUUGAGAAAAACACAUGCCUCUCUCUUGUCUUUUCAUCUUUCUAUUUUCCAUUCUUUUUUGUUUUUAUUUUCUC